AGUUGGAAUUUAGCUCCAGUAAGCAUGUCCAAAGUGACACUUGUAAUAUGACCUGCCGUGGAAAGACCUCCAAGAACAGAUAAUACUGCACACUACCAAAAUGAAACUGAAACUGAGUUCUUCACAUUUAUUAGCCAAAUAGAUAUAAAAAAAAAUUAACAUCAACCAUGUGUCUCCUCCCAAAAGAGAGGACAGAAGAAAGAAAUUUCAUUGCACAAAACAAAGUGAAGUGUCUACCUCAUAUCUAGAUGCAACUUCAUAAAAACGCAAACGAUUAAGUAUGUAAGUAGCAAGAGAAGCAACAUCAUGGCGCUGGUUCUGCAACAAAAACUUCAGUAACUGAUUGUAGCCUUCACUGGUGCCAGGAGGGACACUUUCGUCUUCCCGAGGCCACCAGCCAAGGAAUCCUUCACAGCCAAUUGAGUGCCGAGUAGCUUGCUCAACAACAGCAAGUGACAACAACUUAAGAGUAAGAGAGUUUUGAAUGACAUGAUUGAGAACACGACCAAGCUUCUCCAUACCACCACUACUAACAAAGUGAAAGCAGCUCUCUCGACCAGAGCACAGCAAAAGAGCUACACUAAGCCACAGUACGGCACUCUUAUGCUGAAACUCAAAUUAAAACAAAAGGAAAUAGAAAAGAUGUCAAUAAUGUGUGAUGAUUCAUCAUCAUCAUUGACGUAUUUUCACUAAAAUUUCAUGAAAGAAGCUAAAGAAGAAGGAAAAGUGACUCUAAUCACCUUCGAACGCACAGGAUUUGCAGCAAUUUCAUGGUUACUACCAAACUUAAAGUAUAAGCUCAACAAGUCCACCAGUUGUUUGGAAGUAGGCAUAUCAGCCUCAGAUUCAAAAGACAUAUUCUCGGUUGAAGAUUCAGCAGGGAAAUACCCUCCUUGCUUAAAGCUUUUAUAGACAUCCAUAAGUUCCUUUCUAGCUUCAUUAAGGACAUCAUCAAAUCCUCCAUUAUCUCUGAAUUUAUCCAUCCCAACAUGUUUCUGAUUGAUAAUAGUAGAAUACAAGUUAGGAGUUGCAUGUACUAGGGCUGCCGAUAGCAUUGAACUAAUAACGGUAUCUGUAGCAGCUCCAAGAUUCUGAGACUCCAAAAGCUUAAACAUCAGUUGUAAAAACUGCUUGUGUUCGACAGGAAUAUCAACUCUUGCAACUUUGAAAGAUAACUUAUUCAAGGUAGAUAGAGAUUCCUCAAUUGUCAAAUUGGUUGGGCAGAGUGCAGGGGGAAGGUCUUCAAGGUCUCCCUCAAUUGCACUAACAGUAUGUGUCAAAGAGCUAUCUAGAUCAACUUCUAUGUUAAACUGACCUAAAUCUUCUGCUGUAUUCCCAUAUAUGACCAAGCUUAGGCCACGAUAGCUGCCUCUUACAACCAAAUGACUAGUUACCAUAGCCUGCAACAAGUUGCACUUCUUUCAACAACACUUUACAGAGGAGAUUGAAGACAAAGAAGAAAGGUAAAAUAGUAUAACAAGCACAAGUAGACAUGUAAACCUGCAGCACAUAAAUAAGACUUCAUUUUGACCCUGACUAACCUUGGGUCCGUUUGGAUACCAUAAAUUGGGGGAAAAUUUUUCAAAUAUUAUUUAGCUUACAUCAUAAACACAACUUUCAACCACCUUUUUAUCUCACAAGGAAGAAAGCUCUGAACUACUUGCAAGCACAGCUGAGUCAAAACCACUGGAAAUCUUGUUUAUGAAGCUCUUUGAAUCAUCUGACUUAUCAGGAAAUUUUUUAUCUGAAGAAAUACUUGGUUCUCGAGCCAAUGACCCUCUGGACGAGAAACUGUCAUCAUUGAAGAAAAUUCACUGUUUGUAUUCUCAUCCAUAUUAGAAGCCAAUUGUGCAUUUAGGUUAGAGUCACUCUCUGUCUCCUCCACUAUCGAGUGAGGAGAGCUUUGCUCAGCCACAACAGGUGCAGGUAGUGGCAGAUUAUCAUCUGCCUGAGGAAAAGGCAACUUCUCAUCAGGUUCAGAUUCCUCAGCAUCAAAAACGAUAUCAAUUCCCUGAAGAUCAUCAUCAAGGUCAGGUUUCAGUUGCCGAGAUUUAUUGGACUUCUCUGCAUCUUUAUUGUUUUCAGGAGCUGUUCUUUUCACUUGUGCAGUUGCAUCAGCAACUGCCAUUCCCACUGGAUGUUGGCGGUCCCUUUGUCUGGCCAUGAAUUCAUCAACAUGAAUAGACGGAGGUCUCCCACUAGAGGAUCCUAUGCGUGGAAUAGCAAUUACAUUUGGAUUAUUGUUACCAUCAGCAUUUCUUUCCCUAGCAACAUAGUCAUCCACAUGCAUAGAAGGAGGUCGGCUGGUAUUGGGCUUGCGCUGCCGAAAUGUAUCCCUUCGAGUCGGACCAGAAGUAGCAGGGGGAACUGAGCCCCGUGAAAAUGAACUUUGAGCAAUAGUUUCAGUCGAGGCAUUAUCAGCUCUGACACGCCUAUUAGGCCCAUCCAGUGAGGAAAUCUUCCGCUUCAUUGAAAGACCUGUCUGCGUCAAUCUAUCACGCAAAUUUUCAGGACAUUCCCAUAAGAAUUUGUCUCCAAAUUCACCUAAAUCAUAGUCCUCAAUCCUUUCAGCACCACUAUCGGCAAUUCUGUAUCCUUGUAGAAACUGAUGCAGCAAUUGAUGACGAGGGAAGGAUACUGGCCUUGAUAUCAUCGACCUUUACUGCAUGAGUAGGCUUUUGCAACAUAAGUAAUAAAGAGCUUGCAGAUUCCAUUACCUGCACAAUAAUGACCCAAUACAAGAAGGAACAGUAGUUCAAAACCCAACAAAGAUAUAUCACUACUCAAGAAUGCAGAAUGAAAAUCUGGAAUUAUGAAAAGAAGCUGAAUAAUCAUCACUUGCCUCUGGCUCCAAUAUAUUUGCAAGUUCAUGAAGUGAUUUCAUGCUUUCGUCAAGAAAACUAUCUGUACCACACCCAUCCUUCUCAAUCCCAAAAAGGAACUUAGUUGCAGUAAUUCUCUCCAAGUUCAGGCUGAAAGUGCCCAAGUAGAUAUUAGUGUAUACCAAGUGACAUAAUGCAGAAAACAUUUAAACAGAAACUAAAUCUGGAAGUAAAAAUUAUUUAUUUAGGCAAAAAUAUAAUACUGCUACCAGCUGCUAUCAGACAACAGUAAAUGAAGGCCCAAAAUUCGGAGUUUUUGGGAUCUAGCAUAGAACACACAAUGUUUAACCUCAUUCUGAUACUUUAAUACAUAAACUUGUCAAUCCUCAGAUUUUGCUACUCGAAGAACUAAUGUCAUCAAGAAUGGAGCAAAUAAAAAAUAUAAAUAAAUUAAAAGGAGGAAAUCCUCUAAAUAGGUACAACUUAUGAUGCAAAAUCUCAGAAAAGAAGGGCUCCAAGACCAAGGAGGUUAGCAUUCGUGUAGCACUUAUGAAACUUUUGUUCAUCCCCAACCACAACAUUAUAAAAUUAAAGCAGUGCCAUACCAAACUUAACAACUCUAAACCUGAUGCAGAACAGUAGUAGGUCAGCUACUCCUCACCUGCUAAAACCCCUGAUAAACUGUUAAAAUUGCGGUAAAGUCAUCAACAUGCAUAAAUUAGAACGAGAUGACAUAUCCCUCAACUACCUAAAUUGCAAAUGAUCUUGGACUGAGGACAAUAUUCAGUACCACCAAUCGAGUUUCAUUUCCUUUCAAGUAUAAAGAAAGACUACUUAGAUGCUGUCUCAAAUUUAACAGCCUAAGAUGAUCUUGCUUUAUCUUUCAUGUCUUCUAGCAUCUAAUGUCCUUAUCUACCAAUUACUUAAUUUAUAUUUUAUUUAUAGAACCACUAAGCUUUCAUGGCAAAAUUCCAACAGUAUCAAAGUAGUUUAUAACUUAAAAAGCCAAAGAAAAAGGAAAGAAAAACAGAAACAAGACCAAUCAGAUGAGUAUGCAAAACAAGCAGGGUCGGCGACAUGGUGAAGAAGUCGAAGAAUUCACAUAUAUACUUUAAAUCUGUGACCAUAUGGUCCAAAUCUAUCCUCAUCGUAAGUAUUUUAAUAUAUAGAAAGUUUAACACAUGAUAGUGUGGUCAAGAGUCUUUGCCCAUUGCUUUAGGAAAAUAUGUACAGAGAAUAAUUUGCCCUUUUUUGCAUCUUCUACUUUUAUUUCUUUAACAAAAUUAACAGCAAUAACCAUAAAUUGAAAUGACAAAUCAAGCUUCAGCAGAAAAACAAAUCAAGAAAAGCAAAAAGGUAUGGAUAUAACAAAGUAAAAAAAAAUAAUUGAAGAAAUAAGAGCAAGACCUUUCUCUCUCCAAGCAGAAGAGUAAAGCACCAGAGGCCAAUAGGCCAAUGGUCUCAACAGCAUAUUCUGGCGAACCAUCAUUUGAAGCAAUUGACAUUAGCAGUGUACUCCAGCAAAUUUGCAAAGGAGGACUCUCCCUCCAUUCACAGGCAUUAACAAUCUUGAGGUCCCUAUCAUCAGCACGACUCCUCUCAACUGCAGAGUCCUCAAAAAUGAAUGGCUGAACUUUCAGAAAAAUGGAUAACAAUGCAGAUCUGCCUUGAGCAGAGGAACCCAAUUCUUUGAAAGCAGAUACACAGGCAAGUAAUUCCUUUCCAACUGGCAAGACCUACAACACAACCCAAAGAUCAUUUCAUGAAGUAAGAUAAAACCACAUACUAAGAUUUGACAAAGUAUCACAGAAUCAGCACCAACUCAAAACCACUGUAUGAGGCUUAGGAUGCUAAGUGUGUUGAAUAUCAUAAUUGAAUGCUUCAUGCAAGUAAAAAGGAACAACUUCAUAUAUAUAUUUGUCAAAACACCUGUAAAGACACAAGAACUACCAGAGCCUUGAAAUCUACUUCAGAGAACAAAAGAUUUUUGCAUUGGAACCAUCUAGAAGAAUCCCCAUAUUCAGGAGCCACCACCCUCUAUGAACGAAAUACGAUAAAAGGUGUAAUAGAAAAAGGGGGGGGGGACAGAAAAAAGGUAGAGUUUAAACCAACCAGAAGCACAAGAGUGGACAAAUAUGGUAAAACAAUUAUUAACAAUGGGAACAUAUGUGUUCAAGUCUAAUGCUUCAGCCAGUUGAAGACAUAGUUACAUACAACAUGCACACACAGAAGCAGGCAGGAAGGAAGCAACACAGGCAUGGUCAAGAUGCAGCAGAAAGUUUGCCCUGUUUGGUUUUUAUGUUAAAAGAGAAGGGAAAAAAGAGGCACGGGAUAAGGUUACAGUGCAUAGUGCAAACUGAAGAAAAAUGGAAGAGCAAGUGCGACUCAAUUUAAAAAAAAAACAAAAUUCACAACCAACAAGCCAAAUACAGGAGAGAAAAAAACAAAUUGAUACGGCACAAUUUGAGUUAUAAUGUUACACAGUUAUAUCCCCAACAAGAUAACCAAAUAUCACGACACAGGAUUUGCUUGUGGGAAGGCAGCACAUUAAGGUCAUUUUGGAAUAUCUGAUUCUAGGAAGGAAAAGAAAAGUAAACCCCAAAAAACCUGUUUUGUUGAUUAGGUUUCAAAUGAAAACAAGAAGGAAAGAUCAUAGUAAGCCAAAGUAAGAAUGAACAUAUGAAUUUCAAACAUAAUUUAGAAAGAUUGACAAAGGUAAUGGAAUACUCUAGUUCACUCACUUUUUCUUUUGGCAAUUUCUUUCAAUCAUAGAAACUAAUAUCCAGAUAUGCACAAUUGAUUUUAAUUAUAGAUAAGUUGGAAAAUAGAUCAUCAGUAGAAGAAGCAUUAUGUGUAAAGGACAGGAACAGAGUUAAUUAAGAUCAGAUGCAUUCUGAGUACGAGAGACAAAAUGCAGUUCUGCUGUUAUCGUGAUGCAAAAGUUUAGUUCAAUACACUAGAAAUAGUCAAAUCCAUAAUUGAAGAGUGAGAACGCACAACAGAAACCCAAGUUGUUGUUUAAGGUUUUUUUUCACUUUUCUAAGUAGAGCAAAUUCCUGUGAACUCUUUCAUUUCAUACAAGUGACUUCUUUACAUGAGAAAUUGAAAGCAGACUCCCCAGCUGAGUGCCUCCAUGGAACCAAGAAGCGAAACAAAUAUUUUUCAGAAGGAUCAAGCUUCUUGAACUAGAUUUUGCUUUUAGACAGCUUCAUUUAUCUUCGACAUUUUUUUUUCAAGUCUCACUUGACUGAAGAGUUGCCUGGACUGCUGAAUACCUUUACAAAGUUCAAGAUUGUCUCUUUUAUUGUCUUAUUACACGCAAGGAAGGAUUAAUUGACACAAAAAACAAAUCAGCCAACUAGAAGUUCCAACAAUAUUACUGCACAGGUCAAGCUCUAGUUCUGAGAAUGUAGCAGUGCAUAUUUACUUACACAUGAACCAAAUAAAGCAGCGUACCUUACACAAAUUAAGGAUAUAUGACAAAAUCAGCAAACAUUCCCCUGCAGUUACAUCUUUAGGAAUGUGCCUAGAAAACCACAAAAAACAGUCCACUGUAAUCUGCACUUAACCAAUUCACGCAGAGGGGAAGGGGAAAAAAAGAAAUCAACUAACACUCAACAUCAGAUUACCUGUCUAGCAUUACAGGGCGCGGCAAAGAUGUCCGACAAUCACACAGCAGUGAGAUGGACUUAAAUACAGGGAUACACCAAGCAAGCCAUGAAAAUUCAUUUCUAGCUACAUGUCUGACUUCUGGAAACUGCUUGGCAUCUGAGGUAGCAGCUACAUUACACCUCUCAAGCACUUUGACGAACAUCUGAAUGCCACCCUCCCUCAGCAACAAUGGCUAACAAAGGAAAACUAGUGUAAGCUACAUUUAAUAUAUAAGCACUUUUGAUCACAAAACUAUGCAACAAGUCAAAAAGUCCUUCUGAUAUAACCUUUGCACGUGGAUGUUCCAAUAAAAGAGCAAGAAAAUCAAGCAAUCUGUAAACCUGGAAGGGAAAAAAACAUAACAAAAAUAUGAUAAAUAAAGGGCCAUGAGAUUCACACUUGUCAAACUACAAAACAAGUGCAUAAAAUCUUUUUUAAGGAAAAACAAAAUCAGAAACAUUAAUGACCUUGUAUGAAUCAGUGUCUGCAACUGCCAAUGGUCCAGAAAGUUGAUUAGAUAUCCAAGAUAUCAUAGGCCGCAAAAGAACUGAAGCAUUAUCAGUGCCAUGGCAGGCAAUACGAAUAAUGAAGACCCGAAUCAUGUCUUGAAUUACAACCAAUGUCUGUUUAAUAAGAACCAAGAGUUAGAAUCAAAGCGACUCAAACUUUUUCUCCUUCUAAUACCCCUUUGUAAAGGAGCCACAGAGAGUAUACAUUCACGACAUUAGCCCACAAUUAACAAGGAAUGCAGACUCCACUAUGCACUAAAAUCUGCCGGGGUAACAAGUUCAAAAAUAAGCACAUGUUAAACUGGGGGCAAAAUCACAUACACUGAUUGCACAAUGCAGGAUAACCUGCGCAACUUUGUCAAGCUGUGGCGUCAACUGACUUAGCAGCUUUUCAGAUACUCCAGCCUGUAAGUACCAAUCGAUCUGUCUCUCCUUCUCACGUCCUAACAAUGUUCCCACAGCAAAUGCUCUGAGGAGACUUGACAUUGGGAUCCCAUUCUUCCACAGCCAGACACCUUCCUCGGGAAAUAGAUCAUUCUGAAAUACAGAAUAUGCAGAAAAAAAAUGAAUUUUUUUUCAUACAUAAGCAUUACAGAAAAAAGAAUUAAAGAGAAUGCAUUUGGUAACAUUCCACUCCAGAAGAAUAUAAAAUUAGAAAGUUACUAACCAAUAAGCAAAACAAACUACAAACUUCCUUGGGACCAAGCGCCAGUGAUGAAGUUGAAUGAAGAUUGUCAAGUAGGAAGAGGAAUAAGCCAGGAGUCCAACCAUACACAGGCCAACAGGCUAGAGCUGACACAAUAAGAUGGCAAACAGCUUCCAACCAAGGGCUUCCGGAUAAGGAGAGGACAGGUCGAAUGCACACGCAGCCAAUCUCGGACUGCAAAUGAAGGAAUCAAUAGAUUUUAUUCAGAAAAGCACAAUGACAAGUAAUCGGAGAAAGAUGACAUGAACCAGGCUACCUCACUUCUCGAUGCAACUGUAGAAGUGCAUUAAUUAGUUUUGUAUUCCUGUGCUGCUCCUUUGCUUCCUGUACAUGCGGCAAAAGAAAUACCUUACUGGGAAAAACAUGAUAUCAAGCAAAAUCAAAGGAAACAUAAGAAUUUAUUGCUUAAAUAAUCCAGAAUUUAUUCAUCAAAAUUCACGUUCACAUUAUAGCCUCAAUUACCAGAAAAUCCAAAUCAUACCAUGCACUUGUGAAAUCCAACUCAACAGAGAACCUGGGUGAAACUAUCUUUACACGCACCUGCAAUUUCUGCAGCAAAUUAAUCAGCAGUACCAAAGAAGGUAUCAAAAGAUCAACAAUGCUUUGUUCACGGUUGCGUUCCAGCAAUAAAUCUGAAGUUGAAUUGCAUUCAGUACCUUCAUCUACAAGGUAAUCUGUGGCAGACAUUCAAACAAUUCAACAAAAUUAAAGCAUUUGGAAGAACAAAGAUGACUUGCUACAACACAAAAGAAACUCAUCAAAUAUAAAUAAAGGAAUAUGCAAAUUAAUCACUAACACACCAACUCCAAUACAAUGGAAAUAAAACCCUCACAAAAAGAUAACUUGAAUCCAAAUCGAAAAGAAAGAUUCGCUAAGGUUCUCCCUCAAGGAUCUCAAAGGAUUCUGUUCUCAAAAUUUUCCUCUUUCCACAAACGUGUGGCGACGUAAAACCAUUUUUUGACCACACUAUAAGACUAGCCAGAUGGAGGAGGAAGAGGUUCUUGCUAUUUACAAGUGGCCUAGUAUGAGCAGAAUUCUUGGAGAAGCCAGCAUCAUCUGUUGGUGAUUCACAUGUGAACUAGAAUAGAUUAUCUAUUGGUGAUUCACCAUAUCUCGUGGCAAUUAAACUAGCGAAAACAUCAAUCCUAACGCAGGUAAAAAAUGACCAAUCCCAAAAAUUGGAGCUCCUUUGUCACUUCACAUGAAAGGCUGAACGGGCUUCAGCAUGUGCUAUCCUUAAAGGAUUUUUCUAGCUUGGUAUUGGUUGCCUUUUUUCUUAAUGGUUUUCUCUUUGAGGAUUGCUUGGGUAUAGCUGGGCAGACUAAUGGUUUCUUCAAAUAGAACAAUUUUGUCUGGUAUACUCAAAUGAUUCCACUUUUUCUGUAGAAAUCAUGUACAAAAAGGGAUGCACUCCCUUUUGGCAUUCUAGAGAUUGUCAAUUUUAUUGGGAAAAAAAAUACAAUAUAACACCUAGAAAGACAGCAGUGACAAAAUGUACAUGACCUCAAAGAUUUGUAAGAGUCAGAAAACAGCUAAAGUAAAUGCAUGAAGAACUUAGAGGACAAUAUCUUGAUCAACUCAAAGAGAGUAUAAUAAAACCAGAAGCACUUUAAAACAGACAGAAAUGAGAAAAAUAAGCAGCACAGAAUUGACUCAAUAUAGCAAUGCAGGAAACUCAAACCACCCACAAACUCAUUUAAACCAAACAAACCAUAAAUAUUGCAUGAAAUCUUGGGAAAUAGAAAAAAGCUGAGCAAGGAAUUCAAAACAAUCAAAUAACUCAUGCUCAGGGACAGCUAACAUAAAUUUCACCAUCAAUUCAAGUGUCCACUUUGAUUUCUUAGAGGUACAGAGAAAGGUGGCAUUGCCUCUAGCAGUUCUGAUGCAGCUUGUUGGAGAAUACAGUCAUAUAAACAACAGUACAACACACAGCAAGUGAAGAUUAUAACUUCUUAUAACAGGAGCUCAGAAUAAAUCAAGUUUUAAGACUCUUUACAACAUGUCUAUUCAAAAUCAGCUCAGGAAGAAUUCAACUAGCUUGCAGUGAUUUCCUUUUCCCACCCAACAGGAGCAUACUUCUCCAGAUUGGUUUUAUCAUAUAGGUUUACAAAGCUUAAAAAUAAGAUUACAAGAAAAUUCUAGUGGCUUCAUAAGAGUUUAUAUGGAAUGUAUGUUACACAAACAAAGGAAGCAAUUAAAGAGAACUAGUAGUGUAAAUAAGUAAUCACCAAAUCCUCCAGGUAUAUAGCAAAUUCAAAAUUGAAACUGAAGAACAAGACUUCGUGCUCACCAUAAAUGUUGGAGGACCUCUCCAGCAAGACUUUACAGUUAAUUAAAACAGCAUGGAUAACCAUUACAGCGCCUUCAUCAUAAAGUACAGCAGAAAUAGCCUUCACCAAUCACACAAUAGUUAAGACCCUACAAACUUCUACAAAUAUCACUGCAGAAAAGAACAAAUAGAUAACAAAUAAACUCUGUUACCGAAUUAUCUGAAAUGAAUGCCAGAAUCCGGAAUGCUGUAGUCAGCUGAACGAUAGAAGAGUCACGAAGUACGACACCAGGAAAGUCCUUAUCAGUUAUGCGUUUUCCCAGAAGGUUAUCAAUGACGUUACCAUCAGAACUACAAGGAGCUUCUCCGACAACAUUUUCCACAUCCAUCAUAUCAGAUCCAAAAAUGCUUGUUGACGCCAUAUGUGCAUCUCCUCCAGAAGCUAAAGCAGCAUAACGCAGAAGCCCAAUAAAUCCAUUUCUGUGGUAUACUACACCAGCAUCAAUCCAUUCCAGAAGCCUUGCAGGAGCAUCUUUUCUAUUGGACCCAGGAGAAGAGGAGUGUAACACCCGAUGAAGUUCAUUAGCCUGGUCAAUCCAAGAACCCAAGGAAGAUGAAGUUGAAUCAGUAACAAUGACUUCAAAAAUCUCUGCUGCAGCAUGGAAGAUUGCGACAUUUAAUGGUGAAGAUCCUGCAAACAAGAAUGCCAGCCAUCUCUUAUAAUACUUCUAUAGAGAUCAAUCAUAAAACUUCCAACCAUAGAAAAGUCAAAUACCAGAAUUCAUGGAAACUGGAUCCAACUCCUUUACAGAAUGUAAUGCAGCCGUCAAAACUGAUAGAGCCUAAAGAACAACAACAAUUUCCAUUAGACCUAAAGAAUAAUUCAGCAGCACACGACAUAGAAUAUUGGAAUGCAUGAGAGAUUCAGGAGUAAAGAUGUGCAAUUCUGACAAAUGAACGCUCAUUCACCUGAAAAGAAAAUGCGAAGUAGUUUGAAGAUUUAUUCUCAUCAUCAACAACAAAAUUUAUGGUUGACUUACUCUCAUUAUCCAACUAAAAGCAUCACUUAAGGGAAAAAUCAUGCAGGAUGAGUGACUCAAUGGAAGUUAUGGGAAUAAUUUGAAAACCUAAAAAUGUAAGGUGGGGUUUGCUUAAAUUGUGAUAGCAUGUACCUCUGGAAAAUGUAUCAAAGCCAACAAAGCCUGGCGUCCACAAUCAGACCUGCAUAUCAGCAUAAGUAUUAAAAAUGUACCCGAGUUGUGAAUUAUCAGCAGAAAAGCAGCUAAAACCCAACAUACUUACCGAGAAAGACCGCAUAGCUCCCACAAUAUCCACAGAAAUUCUUCAGUGUUUGGGGUAGAUGUGAUUAAAUGAUCUAUAGCAACAAUCUACAAUAAAGGCAUUUUGGUCAGCUGAAUGCAGCAUCUAAAGAUCAACAGUUGUCCAAGAAAAGAAAACAAAAAGCGUACAUAAAUUUUGGGGGUUGUUUGUUUUGGUGUUUGGGGGGGGGGGAGGAGGGAGGGAAUCUGGCUCCAUAAUUUCAAGAAUGCUACAGGAAGAAGGAAAAGUCAUUGAAGAGAGCCAACAACAUAGUUAUCUCAACUAAAUGGAACUUACAGCCUUCAAAUGUGUCUCAACGAUAAUUCCAACUUCCUGUGGAUGACAAAAGAAUCCCCUAGAUAUCAAGGCGGAUGCAUAGCGUAAAGAAGCCGAUUCUUCCUUAUUCCAAUCAUCUGUACCCCUUAGGCCACGAAUUACUGUAGUUAACACUUCAGGAUCACAUAGAAGAAAAGUCAACCCUGAAAGUGAGAGAUGAAAUGCAUAUAAAUCCAAAAGCGCUGAAAGAAUUGAUGAAUACAUCUACGGAUAAAUUGCUUCAGUCACCGUACCUGAGCGGCUGAAGAGGAGUGAAAGAAUAAUUGCCUCAAUGUAUGACACAAUAUCCAUAAACAAGUCCACUACACGCCCUGUCUCUGUACGUAAUAUAGAACACGAAAGAAAAGCUGCAGACAAAGGGAGAAAACCUCUCUCCUGGUAACCAAGACAGCAUAAGCACAGUAGAACAGGAACGAAAAUUACAUAAAUUACAAAAGAGAAAUAAAAAGGAAAGACAGAAAACACAGAAGCCAAAAAGAAAAGCACUUAUACAUGCCCUGCACAGUUUCUUGCCAGUAAAGAAUAUCAACAGCAGAAAUCUAUAGUCAGUCUGAAGAAACAUGGGGGGAGAAGGGAAAACAUGACUAUUUACCUGUAAACAUUGAUAGAAAUUACAACUGAUUGUAAGACAGGUCUUAAAAGGACUCGAGAAUCUAUCUUUAAUAGCACUUUUAUUAACAAAAGUUAAUGCAGAAUAUUACAAAAAAUAUUUAAGCGGUCUCACAAAAGGUCGACUUGUUGGAAGAAAAUAAUGCUUUUAAAAGCACAGAAUAAGAGUCAUGUUCAUUCUACUAAACACGAUAUCCCCCUUGAACCCAUUCUUAUUUGUGGAACAAGAACGAAGACGCAAAAUACUAUACUAAAUGAUCUGAUGAUCAGCAUUAAGUCCUAAAGAAACAGCAAGAUUGACUCAUAUACAACACAUACAAGAGGGACCGGAGUCCGUUCUCUUUCCAAUAUACGCACUCAGUUGUAUAGUGAGAUUGCACUAGUUAGGUUACAAGCAAAAGGAGCAGAGAAUUGGUGCUCCUGCUCAUGCAUCACCUUGGCAUGGUAUGCAUUAUAUCAAGUGCAAUGUAUAUAAAAUGGGUGUGAUUCACUCAGUAAUGCUUAGAUAAAUCUUGAUAGAACACAUUUGAACUGGAAAGAAACAAGAAAUGAGAUGUGGAAAACAGAUUGGUAACCCUACUUUGUUAAAGGUGAUAAAUUUGGUACAUGAAAGAGGCAGCUAGAAGUCUUUGCCAUAGCAUUCAGACACAAAGCAUGAUACACAAGGGAAAAAGAAACUAGACCCCCAGAAUAGGCUCAACCUCCUCUUAAAUCAGCUUUGUUCGAAUUUUGUCCAUUUGUAAAAAAAUAAUAAUAAAAUGGCUUGUCAAUUUGCAGUCCAUUAAACUGCAGGAUCUAUUUGAUCAACAGACCAGGUGAAACGAACAAGUAAAUUUUGCCUAUUUCUACAGCAGUCAAGACUGUACUUCCACGUCAAAAGAUUUAUAGAAAUUAUUACUGCAGUUAUUAGGAAUGAAAAGGUCAGGUUUCUAACUUCCAAUUUGACAAAAUCAUAUCUUCAAUCCCCAUUUCAGGCUUUCUACACUUAACAAUUUAUCAAAACCUACUAUUUAUUUCAAUUGCAAAAGUAGGCUGUUUGACACGGCUCAUAAACUCAGAUAAAGCAAGCUCACUCCUGAUUAGCUAUAUAUGUCCAAGCCCGAUGUAUUCAUGUUCAAAGCCAACAUUGAGCACACCAAUAAUCAGUUUGGAUUGGUUCAUUUUCAAUCCCUACUAUAGCAAAUGUUUUCAAACACCAUUAAUAUACACAAAAAUAGUCAUAUCUACUCAGCCAGAACAACCAUUCAGGUUUUAUAACCUUAGUUCCAACUCAACCCCUGAACUUUGUCAAGAUAUUGACCAAUUAGCCAUACAAGUGGAAGGACCCCUUACCCCAACCAAGAACAAUAAACAAUAUAAUGAUUCUCACUUCAUAAAUGAGGUCUUCGAGUCAUUUGAAAUGGUAAACACCAGUAGGCAAAAUUUAAAUUGAGGAAAAAACUGUCCCUAAAAUCUUCCCAAACCCUCCUUCCCCUUCACCUCCUCAAACAGCCAAAUGGGACAAAUUAAAGGAGACAACAGACAGCUUGCAAACAAAAACAGCAACAUUUACUGAAAAAUCAUCAAUCAAAUUAAAUUGGUUGUAUACAAAAAGAAUCUCAUCAAACUCAGAAAAAGAUUUGUAUUUCCAGCAGACACGCAAACCGGAACAGUAAACUUGCAAACAAAUUGUCAAAAGGGGGAAAAAUAAACAGAAAGUAUGGUAAAAUCAACUAAACAAGUACCUUAAGCAGCAGAAGCAAAUGUGGAUCAGUGUCCCACUUUGAAAAACAACAAUUUGACUGGUUAAUAAAGGUGCUAGUUGCUUUAUAUGACAAUGAUCCAACAUCACAUGGAAUCAAAGUGCUGCUUGCACGAGCCACCAGAGAAGGAUCUUCAAUUGGGCCAUGGAAGUUUAUUAAUUUCUGCAGCAGUACUUGUCAAAUAUAUGAACAAUGAAUUCUUCAUUACACAAAGAUAGUUGAUAAUUAUUUUACAAAACUUCUUAUAAUUAGUCUGGCUGAUCACAAACUAGUAAUCUCAUUAAAAUAUAUAAUAAAUAAACAGCUUGAAAGACUUACAGUGAGCUUCUUGAGUUGGAAUUUAGCUCCAGUAAGCAUGUCCAAAGUGACACUUGUAAUAUGACCUGCCGUGGAAAGACCUCCAAGAACAGAUAAUACUGCACACUACCAAAAUGAAACUGAAACUGAGUUCUUCACAUUUAUUAGCCAAAUAGAUAUAAAAAAAAUUAACAUCAACCAUGUGUCUCCUCCCAAAAGAGAGGACAGAAGAAAGAAAUUUCAUUGCACAAAACAAAGUGAAGUGUCUACCUCAUAUCUAGAUGCAACUUCAUAAAAACGCAAACGAUUAAGUAUGUAAGUAGCAAGAGAAGCAACAUCAUGGCGCUGGUUCUGCAACAAAAACUUCAGUAACUGAUUGUAGCCUUCACUGGUGCCAGGAGGGACACUUUCGUCUUCCCGAGGCCACCAGCCAAGGAAUCCUUCACAGCCAAUUGAGUGCCGAGUAGCUUGCUCAACAAC
rnacentral:lncRNA from 1 species